CCUACGGGUGGCAGCAGUGGGGGAUAUUGCACAAUGGGGGCAACCCUGAUGCAGCGACGCCGCGUGGAUGAAGAAGCGCCUCGGCUCGUAAAGCCCUGUCAGCAGGGAGGAAAGUGACGUUGUCUGAAGCAGAAGCCCCUGCUAACUACGUGCCAGCAGCCGCGGUAAUACGUAGGGGGCAAGCGUUCGCCGGAUUUACUGGGUGAAAGGGUGGCGCAGACGGCGAGGCAAGGCAGGAGUGAAAGCCCGGGGCUCAACCCCGGGACUGCUCCUGGAACUGCGUGGCGGGAGUGCAGGAGGGGGGGGUGGAAUUCCUGGUGUAGCGGUGAAAUGCGUAGAGAUCAGGAGGAACACCGGUGGCGAAGGCGGCCUGCUGGACUGCAACUGACGUUGAGGUGCGAAAGCGUGGGGAGCAAACAGGAUUAGAUACCCCGGUAGUC
rnacentral:rRNA from 1 species